rnacentral:rRNA from 1 species
UUAAGCGACUAAGCGUACACGGUGGAUGCCCUGGCAGUCAGAGGCGAUGAAGGACGUGCUAAUCUGCGAUAAGCGUCGGUAAGGUGAUAUGAACCGUUAUAACCGGCGAUUUCCGAAUGGGGAAACCCAGUGUGUUUCGACACACUAUCAUUAACUGAAUCCAUAGGUUAAUGAGGCGAACCGGGGGAACUGAAACAUCUAAGUACCCCGAGGAAAAGAAAUCAACCGAGAUUCCCCCAGUAGCGGCGAGCGAACGGGGAGCAGCCCAGAGCCUGAAUCAGUGUGUGUGUUAGUGGAAGCGUCUGGAAAGGCGCGCGAUACAGGGUGACAGCCCCGUACACAAAAAUGCACAUGCUGUGAGCUCGAUGAGUAGGGCGGGACACGUGGUAUCCUGUCUGAAUAUGGGGGGACCAUCCUCCAAGGCUAAAUACUCCUGACUGACCGAUAGUGAACCAGUACCGUGAGGGAAAGGCGAAAAGAACCCCGGCGAGGGGAGUGAAAAAGAACCUGAAACCGUGUACGUACAAGCAGUGGGAGCACGCUUAGGCGUGUGACUGCGUACCUUUUGUAUAAUGGGUCAGCGACUUAUAUUCUGUAGCAAGGUUAACCGAAUAGGGGAGCCGAAGGGAAACCGAGUCUUAACUGGGCGUUAAGUUGCAGGGUAUAGACCCGAAACCCGGUGAUCUAGCCAUGGGCAGGUUGAAGGUUGGGUAACACUAACUGGAGGACCGAACCGACUAAUGUUGAAAAAUUAGCGGAUGACUUGUGGCUGGGGGUGAAAGGCCAAUCAAACCGGGAGAUAGCUGGUUCUCCCCGAAAGCUAUUUAGGUAGCGCCUCGUGAAUUCAUCUCCGGGGGUAGAGCACUGUUUCGGCAAGGGGGUCAUCCCGACUUACCAACCCGAUGCAAACUGCGAAUACCGGAGAAUGUUAUCACGGGAGACACACGGCGGGUGCUAACGUCCGUCGUGAAGAGGGAAACAACCCAGACCGCCAGCUAAGGUCCCAAAGUCAUGGUUAAGUGGGAAACGAUGUGGGAAGGCCCAGACAGCCAGGAUGUUGGCUUAGAAGCAGCCAUCAUUUAAAGAAAGCGUAAUAGCUCACUGGUCGAGUCGGCCUGCGCGGAAGAUGUAACGGGGCUAAACCAUGCACCGAAGCUGCGGCAGCGACGCUGAUGCGUUGUUGGGUAGGGGAGCGUUCUGUAAGCCUGCGAAGGUGUGCUGUGAGGCAUGCUGGAGGUAUCAGAAGUGCGAAUGCUGACAUAAGUAACGAUAAAGCGGGUGAAAAGCCCGCUCGCCGGAAGACCAAGGGUUCCUGUCCAACGUUAAUCGGGGCAGGGUGAGUCGACCCCUAAGGCGAGGCCGAAAGGCGUAGUCGAUGGGAAACAGGUUAAUAUUCCUGUACUUGGUGUUACUGCGAAGGGGGGACGGAGAAGGCUAUGUUGGCCGGGCGACGGUUGUCCCGGUUUAAGCGUGUAGGCUGGUUUUCCAGGCAAAUCCGGAAAAUCAAGGCUGAGGCGUGAUGACGAGGCACUACGGUGCUGAAGCAACAAAUGCCCUGCUUCCAGGAAAAGCCUCUAAGCAUCAGGUAACAUCAAAUCGUACCCCAAACCGACACAGGUGGUCAGGUAGAGAAUACCAAGGCGCUUGAGAGAACUCGGGUGAAGGAACUAGGCAAAAUGGUGCCGUAACUUCGGGAGAAGGCACGCUGAUAUGUAGGUGAAGUCCCUCGCGGAUGGAGCUGAAAUCAGUCGAAGAUACCAGCUGGCUGCAACUGUUUAUUAAAAACACAGCACUGUGCAAACACGAAAGUGGACGUAUACGGUGUGACGCCUGCCCGGUGCCGGAAGGUUAAUUGAUGGGGUUAGCCGCAAGGCGAAGCUCUUGAUCGAAGCCCCGGUAAACGGCGGCCGUAACUAUAACGGUCCUAAGGUAGCGAAAUUCCUUGUCGGGUAAGUUCCGACCUGCACGAAUGGCGUAAUGAUGGCCAGGCUGUCUCCACCCGAGACUCAGUGAAAUUGAACUCGCUGUGAAGAUGCAGUGUACCCGCGGCAAGACGGAAAGACCCCGUGAACCUUUACUAUAGCUUGACACUGAACAUUGAGCCUUGAUGUGUAGGAUAGGUGGGAGGCUUUGAAGUGUGGACGCCAGUCUGCAUGGAGCCGACCUUGAAAUACCACCCUUUAAUGUUUGAUGUUCUAACGUGGACCCGUGAUCCGGGUUGCGGACAGUGUCUGGUGGGUAGUUUGACUGGGGCGGUCUCCUCCUAAAGAGUAACGGAGGAGCACGAAGGUUGGCUAAUCCUGGUCGGACAUCAGGAGGUUAGUGCAAUGGCAUAAGCCAGCUUGACUGCGAGCGUGACGGCGCGAGCAGGUGCGAAAGCAGGUCAUAGUGAUCCGGUGGUUCUGAAUGGAAGGGCCAUCGCUCAACGGAUAAAAGGUACUCCGGGGAUAACAGGCUGAUACCGCCCAAGAGUUCAUAUCGACGGCGGUGUUUGGCACCUCGAUGUCGGCUCAUCACAUCCUGGGGCUGAAGUAGGUCCCAAGGGUAUGGCUGUUCGCCAUUUAAAGUGGUACGCGAGCUGGGUUUAGAACGUCGUGAGACAGUUCGGUCCCUAUCUGCCGUGGGCGCUGGAGAACUGAGGGGGGCUGCUCCUAGUACGAGAGGACCGGAGUGGACGCAUCACUGGUGUUCGGGUUGUCAUGCCAAUGGCACUGCCCGGUAGCUAAAUGCGGAAGAGAUAAGUGCUGAAAGCAUCUAAGCACGAAACUUGCCCCGAGAUGAGUUCUCCCUGACUCCUUGAGAGUCCUGAAGGAACGUUGAAGACGACGACGUUGAUAGGCCGGGUGUGUAAGCGCAGCGAUGCGUUGAGCUAACCGGUACUAAUGAACCGUGAGGCUUAACCUU